UACGGAGGGUGCGAGCGUUGUCCGGAAUCAUUGGGCGUAAAGGGCGCGUAGGUGGCCCGGUCAGUUCGUGGUGAAAGCGCGGGGCUCAACCCUGCGUCGGCCAUGAAUACUGCCGCGGCUGGAGCACUGUAGAGGCAGGCGGAAUUCCGGGUGUAGCGGUGGAAUGCGUAGAGAUCCGGAAGAACACCGGUGGCGAAGGCGGCCUGCUGGGCAGUUGCUGACGCUGAGACGCGAAAGCGUGGGGAGCAAACAGG
rnacentral:rRNA from 1 species